UCUAAGAUGGCAGAUUAGUGCAAUGGGUUUAAGCUCCAGUUAUAAAGUCAUUGGACUUUUCUUAGAA
rnacentral:tRNA from 1 species